rnacentral:rRNA from 1 species
CGUAGGUGGCAAGCGUUGUCCGGAUUUAUUGGGUUUAAAGGGUGCGUAGGCGGUUUUCUAAGUCAGCAGUGAAAUACGGCAGCUCAACUGUCGAGGUGCUGUUGAUACUGGGGAACUUGAGUACUGAUGAGGUAGGCGGAAUGGACGGUGUAGCGGUGAAAUGCUUAGAGAUCGUCCAGAACACCGAUAGCGAAGGCAGCUUACUAAGGAGUAACUGACGCUGAGGCACGAAAGUGUGGGGAUCAAACAGGAUUAGAUACCCUGGUAGUCCACACUGUAAACGAUGAUUACUCGAUGUGUGCGAUAUACGGCACGCGUCUUAGCAAAAGCGAUAAGUAAUCCACCUGGGGAGUACGCCGGCAACGGUG